UACGAAGGGGGCUAGCGUUGCUCGGAAUGACUGGGCGUAAAGGGCGCGUAGGCGGUUUGUACAGUCAGGUGUGAAAUUCCCCGGGGCUCAACCUGGGGGCUGCACUUGAUACGUAGGAACUUGAGUGAGGAAGAGGGUCGUGGAAUUCCCAGUGUAGAGGUGAAAUUCGUAGAUAUUGGGAAGAACACCGGUGGCGAAGGCGGCGACCUGGUCCUUGUACUGACGCUGAGGCGCGAAAGCGUGGGGGAGCAAACAGG
rnacentral:rRNA from 1 species